AGAGAACGGACGGUACUUUGGAACAGGAAUAAUUACUAAAAAUUUCCCUUUGUUCUGGUUGCAGCCUCCCUAAGCAACCUUCUGAUAGCUGAUGUGUUUUCCUAGAGAAAGGCAGAGUGUCACGUGCAGAGUCUUGGAAGCUUGACGAGCCUACUUUCUCCUACAAAUGGACCUCAAGAACUUGCAUGGAAGUUCUAGCUGCGGCUCAGCUACCUGCAUCCCCUUGACCGAAGAACCGUUCUCCUCUAUCGGGGUACGACGUGUUUCCUGAGAGCCAACUGGAGCAAUGCCAAACUCUGCCCAAGAGGAUGGGUCAUGGACACCAACGGAGAGCUGUGUGACACAGAUCCCGGGAAGCCUGGGGAAAAACGCUUUGCCAGGUAACGGGAGCAGCCGAAUGUUCCCGAUGGAGGCCUCGGAGGAGUCCCCUGG